CGCCCAGUGCCGCCCGGGGAACCGCGGUCCUGGACGCCGGGCGCCGGCGCCUCCCGGACUCCUGCGGCGCCACGCUGGCGGAAGCCUGCAGCGCCAGGGCCGCGGCCAGGAGCUCCCCCCACCCCGACCCCCCAAGAGCCGGGCGCUUAAAGUCGCCCAUCGGUGUAACAGCCGGGCUGCGUUACCUCCGCGGCGUCCUCGCAAAAAGGCUCGGCUCACCGCCUGAAAGGCCGAAGCCGGGAGUUUUAUGAGUUCCCUAUAGUCAGCUGUGACCUGGAAGCAUAUGACCCUCCUUCCAACUCAUCAUGAGGUCAACAGUAGCUUCAUGCUGCAUCACAACGCCUACGUCAUUCACCUCACUUCAUCUCAUCACUAGGCAUUUAUCAUCUCAUAUUAUCACAAAAGGAAGGAUACCCAGGAAGACUGACGACCAAGAUCUCAUGGGAAAACAGAAAUUGUGAGCCUCCAAGGCAGAACGCGGGAAUGCAAAACUAGCCCAGGGCCUAAGGCAGCUCCACCUACCAAGUUCUUGAUUGCUUUUUCAGCAGACCACACUUCCGCUAGGCAAGUAACUCAUCCUUUCCCUCUCUCCUUCCUCUUUCUCUUCUGCUUUUGCUAUUUUUUCCUGUAUGGGUCAAUUCGGGGAGAGAAUCUGACUGGACUAAUAUGGCCACUGUUGGUCCUGCGGCACAGCUUAACUAGAACCCCAGAUUUGUGCUUAGAGAGCCCCCUUGUGGCCGCUCUCCUAUGUAGGAGGCUUACGGGCGGACUGGGUAGUGAACCUUUUGGAAAUAGUCCUUUUGUUUAAAAAAACAUCCUUGAUCAAAAUUUCCUCUAUAAACACCAUUUGUUUUCCUGAACAUAAAAGCAAUACCUGUUUGUUUUAGAAAAUUUAGGAAACUAUGGAGAAGAAAAAAAUUAAAAUGAUCACUUAAUUUUGGUGUAUUUUUUUUGAGUUAAAUAUGCAUGUAUAUAUGCAUACCUACAUGCAUAUAUGAAACAUGUACAAGAUUUAGAAUGAUACACAUUACAUUCCUUUAAAUUUGUGGUGUAAGAUUUUUCCUAAGUCACACACACAAGAAGAUCUUCAAAAACACCCUUGCUAAUGGCUUCCUCAUCUUCCAACAAGAGAUGAGCCGUCAUCGGCUGCUUCACCAUUGUAGGACAGUUGUUAAUUUUAGCCAGACUUUCUCUGUAUGAAAAUGUAGGCAAGGCGGCUGUGGGGGACGGUUCAGUGUGCUGUGAUUCGGGGCUCUCACCCCCAGGCCUGACUGAGGUGACAGAGCUGGCUUCUGUGUCCAGGCCAGCCCUGGCAGUCCGGACUCCCAUCUGCAGGAACAGAAGCUCAAAGAGGGAGAAGACCUGGCCUGGGGAUUUUUUCGCACACGUUUAUGGGAGGGAGUUGGUGGUAAAGGGUUACAGGAUUAGAGAGCUAAGCUGAAGGGCCGCACCUGGAGGCAGUCCUGCGCACGGAAUUUACAACAGGAGCCUGGGAGUCGUAUAAAUGAGUAAUGCUUCAUGAUGCUCUUUUCCAAGCGAGCUGCAAAAAUUGGCAGGGGCCCUUCAGUGUGCUGUCGAUGUGUCUGGAAUUCAAAUAAUUUGAUUCUGAGAUACAAUGACAAUGGGAAGCAAGGCAUUACCUUGAGAGAAUGAUGGCCGAGACAGCCGCUGCGACCAAUAUUCAUGGAAGAUGCUGUACUAACAACUGUUCUCCAUUUGCCGUCCUCCCUGAAAUCUCUAUCAUGCCUCAUUGCUGUUGCUAUUGCCCUGACUCAAGGGCAUUAAAUUAAAAAGUAAUGUAGCUGGUAA